rnacentral:lncRNA from 1 species
AUUUCUUGGGCCGCUCCCACGGCAUAUGGAGGUUCCCAGGCUAGGGGGUGAAUCGGAGCUGUAGCCACCGGCCUACGCCAGAGCCACAGCAACGCAGGAUCCGAGCCGUGUCUGCAACCUACACCAUAGCUCACGGCAACGCCGGAUCAUUAACCCACUGAGCAAGGGCAGGGACCGAACCCACAACCUCAUGGUUCCCAGUCAGAUUCGUUAACAACUGCACCACGACAGGAACUCCAAUCAACUAUUCUUUAAUUUAAAAAAAAAAAAUUAGAAAAGAAAAAAAAAGAAAGACCAGCCAUUGAACUGUGAGAUAGCAGGCUUCUCUCAGCUUCAGCUGUCCUGUCAGCCUGAGAUUUCACAGACAGGAGAUGAGAGAAUUCCUUUCCUACAUGGUCGAAGAGACCAAGGGAAUUUUGGGGGUGGUAGAACUGUCUUGUGUCCUGAUUGUAGUGGUUGUUAAAAGUUAUAGAACUGCAUAACCAAAACAGUCAAAUUUACUGCAUGUUACUUUUAGAAAUUAAAAAAUAAAAAUACAAUUACAAAUACCAAAAAAGAACUCUUAUUCAAUAACUCUUACAAUUCUUAAUCAUUUUGACCUUCCUUCUCAAGAAAAACAUCAGGACAAGUGAGAAUUUGUUAACAUUACAGAUUAUAAAGAUUUUUAAAAAAUACUAUAAAAUUUAGACUUGAUCUCUCUUUAUCUCUAAUCUGUCCAUAUGUUUAUAAAGAAUGGAUAAUAAAUGGUCUGAGCAUGCAGGAGAGCAGGUAGCCAGGAGUCACCACCCACUAUUUGAGAUAACAGAAGUAUAAAGUACUGAUAAUGGAGUAUUAAACAAACAAGGUGAAAAGCAAUUCUUUCCAUUUCAGCUGAUGCUAAGAAACCAGCUGUGCAGUACUUUCUUAGUAUAGAAAUAAUGGCCUGUGCUUCCACCUCUAUGUUUUUCUCUUUCAAGAGAACUUGCACUUCUUUCCCAGUCUCUGGAGAGCAGAUGAAAAUAGGACUGUUACUGAUGAGGAGUUCCUGUUGUGGCUCAGUGAUAACCAACCCAGCUAGUACCCGUGAGGAUGCAGGUUCGAUCCCUGGCCUUGCUCAGUGGGUUAAGGAUCUGGUGUUACCACGAGCUGUGGUGUAGUUUGCAGAUGUGGCUUAGAUCCUACAUAGCUGUGGCUGUGGUGUAGGCCAGAAGCUGCAGCUUCAAUUUGACCCCUAACCUGGGAACCUCCAUAUGCCAUGGAUGCAGCCCUAAAAAGAAAGAAAAAAAAGAAAAAAACCGAGAAGAUGAAUAUAUUUUCUUCUAGUAGCCUCCAUCCUUGUCAUUUGGUGUUCCCUGUUAAAACUUUUGACUCAUCUGCUCACAUCUGGAUUACUAUUAUAAUUGUUUUAGCCAAUAAGCAAAUAGUUCUAAAGGAGAUAGUUCUUCCACUUUUUCACAAUUGUGGGAGAAUAAAAAAGUAUUUAGAGUCUCAGAUUUUGAUGAAGAGAGAGGAUGAGAAAACUGAAAAAUAGAGAAAAGGGGAAGACAAGGUGGAGAAGGACUGGUAGAGGGAAACAGCUGAAAAUAGAGAGGAAAACUUACAUGACAAAAGGAGAAAAAAGGAAGGCAUGAAAGUAAAAAAGAAAGAUUUUCAAUAGGAACAGAAGUAGAUUUUUAGAAGUAGGUUCCUAUUUUAUUAUUACUAUUAUUUUUUGGCUGCACGCACGGCAUGUGGAAAUUCCCAGGCCAGGGGUCAAACCCAAGCCGUAGCAGUGACCUGAAUCACACAUUCUAAUUACUGCUAUGAAGCUGUUUCAUGUCAAACUGUUAUUUAUUUAUUUCCCCAUAGCCCUUCUUCUCCUGGGUUCAAGCAUGUAGUUAUGGUUGUCUACUGUGUAGUACAGCACUGGUCUCACCUGCUCAUCUUCCUUCUCCUUCUAUGGAGAUGCAAUGGGAGUAAUAAUAAAAAUUAUCUUGCCUACUUAGAGCUUCAGCACCAGCUUGACUAUUUUCAAGUGUCUAAAGCAUUUCUUUUGAAUGUCUCAGGUCCAUGGUUGCCUCAGCACCCUUCUUUUAUAUUUUUCUUGGUAGUAUGUGAAUAAAUGUAUCAUGAAUCAGAAAAGUCCUCUUGUUAAGGUGCAGAGGCUCCUUUUGGGGAUUUCUGGGGCUUGUUGCUACUUUCAUAGUGCUUUGUCUGUUCCGUCCCCCCUUCUUCCAUGAUGUAUAGGUAGAAUAGCUACAUUUAUAUGCACUUUAAAAAUAAGGACACUUGAGAGCUGGUCAGGUUAAGAGGCAAGACUCACAAUAAUACUUUCAGGAAUAAGUUGCCCUUUAUCUGUUAAUCCCUUAUUUGUUGAGCAGUUUGGGAGGUUAAAGG